UCUAAAUAUAUUAUAACCUGCUGAAUAUGCUUGAAAAAUGGCGGAAUGUGUAUUGAAAACUGUACACAAUUGACAUAUAUUGGAUAUGAGGGCUUUUAAAGCCUUCCAGACCUUCAAUAAUUCAAAAUGCUGCUGCUGACAGGUUGAUAGGGGAAAGUACUCCAAACGAGCCUUCCAGACCUUCAAUACUGCAAAAUGAUGCUGCUGACAGAUUAAUAGGCGAUACUGAUCACUUCGAGAUUUCCACGUCUUCACAGCUAAGAAAUGACGCAGCUGACAGAUUAAUGUAAAACAAAGAUUGCAACCGGAUGGAAACUUGUGACGAAUUCGGCUGACAGUCACUGACGAACAUGAUCGACUUAUUUCCAUUCUGACAUGGACACAUUGAAUUACUAUUAAAUUUCAUUUUAUUUAUAUACUUUUAUUUGUCAUUAUUCCGUAAGGAUACGACAUUUUUAACUUCACUACAUCAUUCGUUACCUUAAUCACGCAGAUGCCUUGUUAAUACUUAUCACUUCAACUUGAUCGCGUAAUCUUCUAUACCGGUACAAGAGGAAACAGCAAUGAUAUAUUUUUUCCUAAUGCUAGAUACAUUAUUGUCAAAAUUUUAGACAAUGUAUUCAAGGUUUUUACCCACAUUUUUAGCUCGACUAUUUGAGAAAUAGUCUAACUAUUUUACUCACCUUGACGUCGGCGCCGUGCGUCACACCUUGGUUAUAAUUUUGCAUGCAAGUACAUAUGGCUAUGAUUUAAAGGCAUAUAGCUUUGAAACUUGUUUUUUCGUUGUUUUUUUAGUCAAUUUACAACCUCACUGGGUCAAGUUCUAUAACUCUGACUUGUAUUUUGGCCAAAUUAUGCCCCCUUUUGGACUUUAAAAGUCUUGGUUAAUGUUUUGCGUGCCAGUUUCUGUCUCCGAAACUAAUGCAGAUACUGAAUUGAAACUUCACAUGUGUCUUCGGGGCUAUAAAUCAAGGUGAUAGCAUCAAUUCCCAUAACUCUGACGUGCAUUUUGGCCAAAUUUUUACCCUUUUUGGACUUAGAAUACCCUGGUUAAAAUUUGGCAUGCAAGUAAACAUAGCUAUUACUUAAAGGCAUAUGAUUUUGUGAAAAUUUACAACCUCACUGGGUCAAGUCCCAUACUUUUGACUUGUAUUUUGGCCAAAUUAAGCCCCCUUUUGGACUUAUAAAAUAUUUGUUAAAGUUUUGCAUGCAAGUUACUAUCUCCAAAACAGAUAUUGAAUUAAACUUCACAUGUAUCUUCGGGGUUAUAAACUAGGUGAUGAUUUUGUGAAAAUUUACAACCUCACUGGGUCAAGUCCCAUACUUCUGACUUGUAUUUUGGCCAAAUUAAGCCCCCUUUUGGACUUAUAAAAUAUUUGUUAAAGUUUUGCAUGCAAGUUACUAUCUCCAAAACAGAUAUUGAAUUAAACUUCACAUGUAUCUUCGGGGUUAUAAACUAGGUGACAGCGUCAAUCUGAUAUGCAUUUUGGCCAAACUGUGCCCCUUGUCGGACUUAAAACUUCUUGUUAAAGUUUUGCAUGAAAAUUACUAUCUCUUAAACUAAUGCAGACACUAGAUUGAAGCUCUGUAGAGUUCUUAGCAUUUAGGGAAAUAUUCCUGCUUCUGGGACAACAAUUCGAAUAGUCGAGCAUUGACUGGCUUAUGGACGGCUCUUGUUCAUAUUUUAAACAGAUAUAAACUACAGUAACUUUAAAUUUCAGAUUACUUUUCGCAACAAAGCGCUGUAUUCGUAAUAAACAAAGGAGAAAUUAAAAAAAAGUAUUUGAAUUGAUAUAUGUGUCAUGCAUUUGAUUUAACGUACUAGAUAAUUAAUUUUGCAUACAGACAGAUUGGGUUGUAUUUAUCUAUUUUUAGUUUUAAUGUAUAUCAUUUUUUAAACCUGUCAAAUCUUUAAAUUUCAGAUAUAUAUUACUCUGAUUAUAAGUGUGAAUAAAUAUAAUAUGAGUAUCUUUUCAGUUAUAUAUAUAUAGAUUCAGUAUGUAUCAGUAGUGUAAUGGUGGUUAGCCUACUUAUUUUUCUUGAAUCCAGACAAGCACUAACUCUUUCUCUUCUCCACACACGUACAACUUUCUCACAUGAAUCACAGAUGGUGAAAUGUAACUUUAGUCGGAUUGCGGGGAUUAUUUGUUAAAAAUUUGAUUUUCUUGUUUUAGUCUUCAUUUUUAUUCUCAUUAUUCUCAUUAUAUUAAUUAUCUAUAUUUCCCCUAUAGCUUAAGAGUAUUUACACAUAACAAAUGUCUUACAUCAUUCAUUAUAUAGUCAUAUUCAAUGGCACCAAUGUAUAACAACACGGUAUAUGGUUUGUUGAAAGUUGAGUUGCGUUGAA